rnacentral:rRNA from 1 species
UCGGGAAUUUUGGGCAAUGGGCGAAAGCCUGACCCAGCAACGCCGAGUGAAGGAUGAAGUAUUUCGGUAUGUAAACUUCGAAAGAAUAGGAAGAAUAAAUGACGGUACUAUUUAUAAGGUCCGGCUAACUACGUGCCAGCAGCCGCGGUAAUACGUAGGGACCAAGCGUUGUUCGGAUUUACUGGGCGUAAAGGGCGCGUAGGCGGCAAUUCAAGUCAUCUGUGAAAUCUCCGGGCUUAACUCGGAACGGUCAGAUGAUACUGCUUUGCUAGAGUGCAGAAGGGGCAAUCGGAAUUCUUGGUGUAGCGGUGAAAUGCGUAGAUAUCAAGAGGAACACCUGAGGUGAAGACGGGUUGCUGGGCUGACACUGACGCUGAGGCGCGAAAGCCAGGGGGAGCAAA